rnacentral:rRNA from 1 species
AGUGAACGCUGGCGGUAGGCCUAACACAUGCAAGUCGAACGGCAGCACAGUAAGAGCUUGCUCUUACGGGUGGCGAGUGGCGGACGGGUGAGGAAUACAUCGGAAUCUACUUUUUCGUGGGGGUUAACGUAGGGAAACUUACGCUAAUACCGCAUACGCCCUACGGGUGAAAGCAGGGGAUCUUCGGACCUUGCGCGAUUGAAUGAGCCGAUGUUGGAGUUGUUGGUUGGCGGGGUAAAGGCCCACCAAGGCGACGAUCCGUAGCUGGUCUGAGAGGAUGAUCAGCCACACGGGAGGUGAGACAGGGUCCAUGCUCCUACGGGAGGCAGCAGUGGGGAAUAUUGGACAAUGGGCGCAAGCCUGAUCCAGCCAGACGGCGUGGGUGGAGAAGGCCUUCGGGUUGUGAAGCCCUUUUGUUGGGAAAGAAAAGCAGCAGGUUAAGACCCCGCUGUUCUGACGGUACCCAAUGAAUAAGCACCGGCUAACUUCGUG